rnacentral:rRNA from 1 species
AACGCGAAGAACCUUACCUGGGUUUGACAUCCUUUGAAUACAGUAGAGAUAUUGUAGGCUCGCAAGAGACAAAGAGACAGGUGCUGCAUGGCUGUCGUCAGCUCGUGUUGUGAAAUGUUGGGUUAAGUCCCGCAACGAGCGCAACCCCUGUCUUUGGUUGCCAUCAUUAAGUUGGGCACUCCAGAGAGACUGCCGUCGUCAAGACGGAGGAAGGUGGGGAUGACGUCAAGUCCUCAUGGCCUUUAUAUCCAGGGCGACACACGUGAUACAAUGGUCGGUACAAAGGGUAGCCAAGUGGUGACACGGAGCCAAUCCCAAAAAGCCGAUCUCAGUUCGGAUUGGAGUCUGCAACUCGACUCCAUGAAGUUGGAAUCGCUAGUAAUCGCGGAUCAGCACGCCGCGGUGAAUACGUUCCCGGGCCUUGUACACACCGCUCGCGA